AGCCAUUCUGACAGGCGUAAGGUGGUAUCUCAGAGUUGUUUUGAUUUGCAUUUCCCUGAUAAUUAGGGAUGUUGAGCAAUUCCUUAAAUGUCUUUCAGCCAUUUGAGUUUCCUCUGUACAACUGAAUACUACUCAGCAGAGAAAAACAAUGACAUCAUGAAGUUUGCAGGCAAAUGGAUGGAUCUAGAAAAAAUCACCCUGAGUGAGGUAACCCAGACUCAGAAAGACAAACAUGGUAUGUACUCACUCAUAGCAGGAUACUAGAUAUGGAACAAGGAUGACUGGACUGCUACUCACAACACCAGGGAGGCUACCUGGAAAACAGGACUCCAAAAAAGACACGGGGAUCGCCCAAUGACGGAGAAAUGGAUGAGAUCUACAUGAACAGCCUGGACGAUUAAUGGGCUGAACUCCAUGGAUCUAUGUUCCUUGGAAACGGAAACUGUGUCUGUUUUGUUGACCACUGUGAAACUCAAAAACUAUCCCAUAUAGGAGGCCAUGCAUGUAUGAGGUUCAGUGUCCUGAGGGCCAUUCCAUCAAUGCAGUGAUAUGGAUUACAAGCAUUCAUGCCUUUCUGAAAGAGGACUUGACAAAAUGCAUGGAAGAUAGCAGUAGCAACAUGAAGAAUCUACAUGAAACUCAAGAAAAGUAGCAACACCAUGCACAGAUGGAAAUCACAAGCUGCAGAAACUGUGGAACUGGCUACCAAAAAGGUAAUGGAAAAUAGACAGCAAUUGAAUCAAUAAAUGUGAAAAAGCAUAGUGAAUGAUAUUCAGUGUGAUGUGAAAAUACCAAGGGAAAAUGUAGGGAAUGUAGCAGUGUCUAGAAGCAACAAAUAGUGCCCCUGAGGAAAGUGACCAGCCUCACAGCCCAGAGGAGAUCCUGGGACUUCUGUAGCAAUUUGCAAGUUGUGCAAAGAGCUCCCAGCUUGUAGCUCCCUAGAUUGGGGUGGCCAUCUUGGUGACAGUACUGUUUUGAGUUACCCCUGCUUCUGUAAGAA